UACGUAGGUGGCAAGCGUUGUCCGGAAUUACUGGGCGUAAAGGGCGCGUAGGCGGCACGGCAAGUCAGGAGUGAAAGGCCUGGGCUCAACCUGGGAAUUGCUUUUGAAACUGCCGAGCUAGAGUGCGGAAGGGGCAACUGGAAUUCCCAGUGUAGCGGUGAAAUGCGUAGAUAUUGGGAAGAACACCUGAGGCGAAGGCGGGUUGCUGGGCCGACACUGACGCUGAUGCGCGAAAGCCAGGGGAGCGAACGGG
rnacentral:rRNA from 1 species